GUGCACGAAAAGUAACUCCAACCCCUGUGACAUACCAAUUGUUGCCUCGGCGGAUCAGCCCGCUCCCGGUAAAACGGGACGGCCCGCCAGAGGACCCCUAAACUCUGUUUCUAUAUGUAACUUCUGAGUAAAACCAUAAAUAAAUCAAAACUUUCAACAACGGAUCUCUUGGUUCUGGCAUCGAUGAAGAACGCAGCAAAAUGCGAUAAGUAAUGUGAAUUGCAGAAUUCAGUGAAUCAUCGAAUCUUUGAACGCACAUUGCGCCCGCCAGUAUUCUGGCGGGCAUGCCUGUUCGAGCGUCAUUUCAACCCUCAAGCCCUCGGGUUUGGUGUUGGGGAUCGGCGAGCCCUUGCGGCAAGCCGGCCCCGAAAUCUAGUGGCGGUCUCGCUGCAGCUUCCAUUGCGUAGUAGUAAAACCCUCGCAACUGGUACGCGGCGCGGCCAAGCCGUUAAACCCCCAACUUCUGAAUGUUGACCUCGGAUCAGGUAGGAAUACCCGCUGAACUUAAGCAUAUCUAAAACCGGGGAGGGGAAA
rnacentral:rRNA from 1 species